CAAAGUGCUGGGAUCAGAGGCAUGAGCCAUCGUGCCCUGCCAGGACCCCCUUUGUUAUGUCACCUUUAUGACCCUCCAUUGUCUCUACACAGGCAAUCUCUAUUUGGCCCAAACCCAAACACUACAAGUUUUUGGUGACAUUUGUAUUGAGUCCCCUUUCUGCAACUCACCAGUGUUGGCCACUGUGAGGCCAUGGUAGAUGUGGGCAGGGAACUGGAGACUCCGGGCCCAGUGGGUUCAACCUCAUGAGGGAGUGGAGUUGAGAUGCUUUGGGGAUCAGUGACACAACCUCUUACUUGGCUUGGGGUGCAAACCUAGACUCCCUGUCACCCUGGCCUUCUCCUCUCCAAGAGAAGGAGAACUGUGGGCAUCGCAGUGGUGACACUUCAGUUAUCACAGGCUCAGCAGCCAAGUGAAAAGAUGAUGUUGGAAUUUCCUAGAUGAUUCCAUUCAUGGAUUGGCCAUGCAGCAGGUGGUUGAGCACCGUCAAGUACACCCCAGGUUCUCCCAGGCCUGGUUUCUCUUGGCUGAUUCCCUGACAUUAGGAAAUGUUUUCAGCAAAGCCUGUGUAUGACACUUAGAUGGAGCAACCCAUUUCCUAGGAAACUGUUCAUUCUAUACAUGUCCCACUUCCUGGUAUCAUUUGGAUCCAGCUGCCUCGAUUGGCCUUUCUUCCUUGGCCCUUCUCUGGCCCCUCCACUAUUAGAUCAACUGAGUAGUUGCUAACCAGACCAGCAACAUAAUUUGUGGGGGCCUGCACAAAAUAGAAUUGCAGGGCCUGGCCAGGCGCAGUGGCUUACACCUGUAAUCCCAGCACUUUGGGAGGCCGAGGCAGGUGCAUCACCUGAAGUCGGAGUUCAAGACCAGCCUGGCCAAAACAUAGAAACCCUGUCUCUACUAAAAAUACAAAAAAUUAGCUGGGCAUGGUGGCACGCACCUGUAAUCCCAGCACUUUGGGAGGCCAAGGCAGAAGGAUAACCUAAGGUCAGGAGUUCGAGACCAGCCUGGCCAACAUGGUGAAACCCCGUCUCUAUUAGAAAUACAAAAAUUAGCCAGAUGUGUUGGCGGGCGCCUGUAAUCACAGCUACUCAGGAGGCUGAGGCAUGAGAAUCACUUGAACCUGGGAGGCAGAGGUUGCAGUGAGCAGAGUUAGCGCCACUGCACUCCAGCCUGGGCAACAGAGCUAGACUCUAUCUCAAAAAAUAAAAAUAAAAAUUCAGGGCCUGUAGUUCAAAAAGUAUCGAGAAUUUCCAGAUGGCAACAGCAGAGCAUUAAACCAAGCAGCUGCCCUUCUAAGUGCAGGGCCUGUGCAGCUUCAGAGGCUGCACGCAGGUGAAGCCAGCCCUGCGUCUUAUGGCAGUAGGAACGGCCCUGCACACCCUUCCUAUGGCUGUGCAGGCCUGUUGGGAUCCUGGUCUGUUGACAGAGUCAUGCUCCUUCCAUUUCAUCGCAAGAGUGUUCCAAAGCCCCAUGGAUUUUAAACUCAGGUUUUUAAGGUUCUCCCUGAUGACAUGGCUCAUAUAUUUGUAGGGAGCAGCAAUUACUUUUUGUAAGCCAUAUUCACUCUACUCAGAAUAUGCACUUAAUAUUUCCUACCUCCUUCAGCCCCACAAGAGCAUCAGAAUUGGCACCCUGGGUCCAAAUGAACCGUUUUCCAUGUGGCUGGAAAUGCUGCCUCUGGCCACCAUACCCAGACUUUUAAUAACCACAGUUCUCCUCUCUGCUCUCAGUCCUUAGGGAUCCCCUCCUAAAAGUCACGAUCUACCCAAGAAUCCACUGUGAAUCGACCAUCCGCCAGUUUCUCCAAACGUUUUAAAGAGCAAUUUGUAUUUUCAACCUGUCUCACCUCUUGGGGAUAAUGAAUUAGACGAGUUGACUA